rnacentral:rRNA from 1 species
UGUGCAUUUCCGAGAGGAUGCGCAGUGACGUAGCGAAGNUGUAAAGCUCGCCGCCUGGGAAGUACGGUCGCAAGGCCGAAACUUAAAGGAAUUGGCGGGGGAGCACCACAAGGGGUGCGGCGUGCGGUUUAAUCCAAUUCAACGCGGAAAAUCUCACCAGCAGCGACGGCAGGAUGAAAGUCAGGCUGAAGGUCUUACUUGACAAGCCGAGAGGUAGUGCAUGGCCGUCGUCAGCUCGUGCUGUAGGGUGUCCUGUUAAGUCAGGCAACGAGCGAGACCUGUACCCACAAUUGCCAGCAGCUUCUUCGGAAGGACUGGGCACUUUGUGGGGACUGCUCCCGAAAGGGAGAGGAAGGCGCAGGCUACGGUAGGUCUGUAUGCUCCGAAUCUGCUGGGCUACACGCGCGCAACAAUGGUAGGGACAAUGGGAUGCGACACCGAAAGGUGAAGCAAAUCCUCUAAACCCUAUCUUAGUCCAGAUUGAGGGUUGUAACUCACCCUCAUGACGCUGGAAUCCCUAGUAAUGNGGAGUUCAUCAUACUACUGGGAAU